rnacentral:rRNA from 1 species
GACGAACGCUGGCGGCGUGCUUAACACAUGCAAGUCGAACGGAAAGGCCCUGCUUUUGUGGGGUGCUCGAGUGGCGAACGGGUGAGUAACACGUGAGUAACCUGCCCUUGACUUUGGGAUAACUUCAGGAAACUGGGGCUAAUACCGGAUAGGAGCUCCUGUUGGAUGGUGGGGGUUGGAAAGUUUCGGCGGGGGGGGUUGGACGCGCGGCUUAUCAGCUUGUUGGUGGGGUAGUGGCUUACCAAGGCUUUGACGGGUAGCCGGCCUGAGAGGGUGACCGGCCACAUUGGGACUGAGAUACGGCCCAGACUCCUACCUUAUACACCAGUCACAAAUAUUACACAAUCAUCGCAAGCCUGAUACAUCAACCCCGCGUGCGGGAUGACGGCCUUCGGGUUGUAAACCUCUUUCUCCUAUUACCAAACUUUAGUAACUUUCAUCCAUAAAUAAUCACCGGCUAACUACUUG